rnacentral:rRNA from 1 species
CAGUCGCGUUCUCUGGGAUUCAGCCUUGCUUCUUGCUUGGUGCAUUUCCUAGUCUACGGGCCAGCAUGAAUCUUGAGCGGUGGAAAAGGGUUUGGGGAAUGUGGCACCUCCGGGUGUGUUAUAGCCCCUUGCUGUAUACACUGGUUGGGAUUGAGGUUUCAGUGCACGCUUCGGUUGUGCUUUGAUGCUGGCGUAAUGGCUUUAAGCGACCCGUCUUGAAACACGGACCAAGGAGUCUAACAUGUGUGCGAGUGUUCCUUGAAGGAACAGUCGAAGGUACGACACUAGGACUACCGGUGCGUUCAGCCGAAAGGUGUACUCGUAC